CGUGAGCACAGAAUCCCUUCUCCGUGUGCGGUGUCAAGAGCGAUGCCAAGUGGGUCAGUGAGCUGUGCCUUGAGCUGCCAGCGCCUCGCAGGCUGCAGGUGCCGCUGCUCGGCCACCCCACAGCGGUGCCAGCAGCAGCAGCAGCAGAGCAGCCCCAGCUGCGGCUGUGCCUCUCCGGUGCCGCUGCCCUCGCUCCUCCCGGGGCUCCACCGUUCUCUGCUGCCCUGGAGACAGCCCCGAGCCCGGCCGUGAGCUCACAGAGCCGGGGCUUCCACGCGUGGAUUCCUCGGGCUGGGCAACGCUGGGGCCCUGGGCAGCCGCAGCUUCUGGGCUGAGAGAAUGCGGUGAAAUGAGGCUCCUGAGGAGGCUCUGCCCUUCAGGAAUGGCCUGCAGAGCUUCACUCCAUUUCAGCCUGGCUGCUGGCAGCUUGCAUGGGGGCUUCUCUUCUUCACUUCUUCAUCUUCUUGCUCCUGGAUGCUUCUUCCUUGCCCUUGGGAAAACGUGCUCUAAGCGUUGUCUCGAGUGUCAGGAUUGCCACAGCCACAUCCCUCUUGCACAGCCCGCUCCAUCAAGAGGUGGAAGUGCCUUUUUAUUUCCACAUCCUACACUGACUUUCCUCUUUCUCAAAUCGAUGGCUCCCAUUUCUUGGCUGUGUUGCAGUGCUCAGAGAAAGAACUACUGGGCAAUUUUGUUUUGCACAUGACUGAAAAGGCUCCAAGGUUAAAUGCACUUUCUGAAGAGGAAUAAAUCCAUGUCUUUGCAGCAGGUGUUGACUUUUCAAGAGGAUUUCAGAAGUGUUCACAACCCUUCCCUUCUCCUUCAUGAAAUGUUUGAUACUUGACUGUUACCAAUAAUCUUAUUAAAUCUUCUGUAUUUUGUUCUUUGUGUUGCAC